rnacentral:rRNA from 1 species
AGCGAACGCUGGCGGCAGGCCUAACACAUGCAAGUCGAACGAACCUUUCGGGGUUAGUGGCGGACGGGUGAGUAACACGUGGGAACGUGCCUUUAGGUUCGGAAUAACUCAGGGAAACUUGUGCUAAUACCGAAUGUGCCCUUCGGGGGAAAGAUUUAUCGCCUUUAGAGCGGCCCGCGUCUGAUUAGCUAGUUGGUUGAGGUAAUGGCUCACCAAGGCGACGAUCAGUAGCUGGUCUGAGAGGAUGAUCAGCCACAUUGGGACUGAGACACGGCCCAAACUCCUACGGGAGGCAGCAGUGGGGAAUCUUGCGCAAUGGGCGAAAGCCUGACGCAGCCAUGCCGCGUGAAUGAUGAAGGUCUUAGGGUUGUAAAAUUCUUUCACCGGGGACGAUAAUGACGGUACCCGGAGAAGAAGCCCCGGCUAACUUCGUG